GCACUUCCUUCAGCAGCACGUACACUAACAUUGAAAUACUGAGAAGAUUAGCAUGGUCCUGCUCAAGAAUAAUACAAAAGUUUGUAAAGCAUUCCAUAUUUUU
ensembl:snRNA U6 U6 spliceosomal RNA